UUUUGAUUUUUCAGAUUAACAACUCAAGAACACACAUAACACACUAGAUUUCGAUUUCCAAAAUUAAAUACACAAACACACACCUCACUUCUUGAUCGUCGUUCUCAUCAGCCACUACCACCACCAAGCCCUUCUUCCGCCUCCCUCAUCUCUCUAUUAACAAAUCAAUUACGUUUUCUAGCUGGAUUUGUUUAUCCAAAGCAACCCAAGUCACCAUUAAAAUCGUUUACUGUUCAUCGUCUUCAACCUCCAAGCCACCAUUAAAACCGAGACCUUCACCCCCACAAACCCAGAUCCCGUCUCAAGCUAUUUCCAACAACCUCCGAUCAAACUUCAUUGAUGAGUCCUUCACUUCAAAUGAUUCCCCUUCGUUUUUCUCUGAUGGUUGAAAGUAAGCAAAAUACAAACUAUGCAGCAUAAUGUACAAGCUCGUCGAUGCAUUAUCCUUUGAACCAGCACAAUAGGAGAGAAGGAGGUUGCAAUCAAAAUCGAAGAGGGUGGGUGUCUCUUCUUCGAUCAAAAAUUCCAGAUCUAUCGAGAUCUUCUAAUGGAUCUUCCAUGGAUGAAAUCGUUUUGCUCAAGAAAUCAUUUCUGGUGUUUUAUUCUUCAAAAAACCAAAGUUUUGCUCAAGUAAUCGUUUCAGAUUUGCUCAUGAACGGAGGUUGAAGUUGAUGAACAAUAAUCUGAUGUAUAUUUAUCUGUGUUCAUCACAUAUCUGAUGUAUGUGUUUCAGCCUCCAUAAAUCGAAGUAUGUGUGUGUGUGUUCAUCA